UUGGAGCUGCUGGUUGAUGCUGGAUUGAGCAAAGCGGCUCAUCAACUCAUCUGCGGCUCAUCUGCGGCUCAUCAACAGCUGGGCUGGUGAUUUGAAGUUGUCAACUGGGGUGUUGCGGUAUUCAAGGAGACUGAGGAGCAGGUAGCUUCACUUCUCCUCUUUCCUUCAGAGGACCAGUGAACAUUAUCUACACAUGCUGUUGAACCUACCCACUGCAUGGCGGAGGUUUGUAGACCGCCAGUCCAUUCGAGGAUGCCUUCUUUUCAGUGGGGCCCAAUACAAUGGAGAGCUGCAGGUGACAAGUCAGUGGCCAGAGGUGCCUGAACUGGCUGAAAGCAGUCAGAGGUCUUAACAGUUCACCUUGGCAUUGAAGAAGGAGGACCUUGGGAUCACAAUUAUUACCCCAACCCAGAAGACCCAGAGAGCCUAUGGUGCUUUGUUAUUGCCAAGAGGACUAUACAAAGACAAACUUCUGCCAGCGACCUCUGCCACUGUAUAUUUGAUUAUCUACACUCAGAUUCUGGGGCCUGGUGUGAAGAGCGCUCUCUAAUGAUAACUUGAUUGUUUUCAACCCUAUUAUUUGAGGUCAAUCAGUUGGUCAUCAACUUGGUCUCAUGUGUUUUGGUGGGAAAGCUUUUCACGUACCACCACAAUUUCUAAUCUCACAAAACAAAGUGACGGCCUUGACUUAUACACAACACACGUGCAUGUUUUUAGAAAUAAAGCUAAUAAUUCCCCUCAGUGGGACAGCAUUAUCAGUGGCAUACCGACAUUUCACAGUGCAGUUUUAUAGCCAUAAUCAUGCUAUUCUACACAUUUUACAAUGAGGAUGAGAGAAUUUUUAAUUUUCAAGGUAAUUUCAUGCAAUUCUGCAUACAUUGCCAUAGGGCAGAGGAAAAGUUGUAGUUUUAUAGCUUAUCUCGUGCUAUUCUACACAUUUUGCAAUGAGAAUGAGAUCAAAUGUUGCAGUUGUACUAUUAUGUUGCAAUAUCUCUCUGUUCUCAUAGUUUUUCUAACUAGGUACUGGAACUGGAGAAUAUUUUUAUAAUGUUCUCCCACAAAGGUAUCUGCCCUGUCCAGAGUAACCUACUCUCUCCCUUAUCUGACAGCCAGAGUUGCUAAUCCCUUCACCCUUUCUCAUGUCUGUUAGCUAGCUAACUACAAAUGCAUUUCGAGUUUGUGUUUUUCAUUUACAAUGAUAAAUACAUCAAGAUA